ensembl:lncRNA
GAAGGUGACAGUCAAAGCAGAGGAGCACAUCACCUUCUCUUUCAGUUCUGGUGUCAGAAGAGGGAACCAAAGGAGACCCCCAAGGGCCCCCAGGGGCACCGAGCAACCAGAUGUGGACGUGGGUGACCAAUAGAAUGUAGGUGGAAGUGAUGGGCACUACUGGACCUUGCACAUAAGACCUCUGAGGGGUGGCCCACAUUUUCUUUCCUACCUCCCAAACCAGUGCAGAGGCUCUAUCAGAGGACACCAAGCUGGAAGGGCCUUGCAUCCCUGAGUGACCACAGUGAAGGCUAUCCAUCAACCAGGAACAUCCAUGUUAGACUUUCUUGAACAAGAAAUAAACAUUCGCUGGGCAUGGCUUUUGCCAAGCGGUGCCAUGUCCACACCUGGGAUCCAAACCGGCGAACCCCAGGCCGCCGAGAAGCGGAACAUGCGAACUUAACUGCUGCACCACUGGGCCAGCCCAGCCAUUGAAGUUUUUGAGUAGAUGCAUAAUAGUCUCCAUCACUUUCAGCCCCACCUGGAUGCAGGCCUGCCUCAGGACCCAGCCCAUGUCAGCCUGGGAAAGUCCCAAAAGGGAAAGGCCCACUGUCCAACCUAUUUUCAACUGUAGAUGAGGCUGGCUGCAAUGGAGACUUUUCAUCACCAACAUUUUAAAUGGAGUUGUCUGUAGCUGGCUGGGGCUCAGCACCACUCACUUAAUUAUCUGGAAGCUGUUUAUUUAUGGCUGCAAAUGUGUGUGUGCAAGAGAGAGGGAGAAUUGAUCUUUGCCUGGACUUAAAGAUGGAGCCGAAGGCGCUGGAGGGAAUUUGGGUUUGUGCGUCUGGCUCAGACCCUGGGCGCCGAACGGGGCCGCUUGGCAUGGAGCCCGAGGUCUUUCUUUGCCGCACCCCUCACCUCGAGACCUUGCAGGAAUCCGCGGGCCCAGGAGCGGCCUGACGGGCCCAUCUGCCCCGGGCCCGGCUGCCGAGAAAGGCUUCGUGGAGGGGGCCAUCCAGUCCCUGUCUUUAAAAUGAGCGCAAUAAAAGGGGGCAAAUCCUCAAACGCGAACCUGAUCGCUUGUCACAGAAGCAACUUGCCAUGAAAUCCGCUAAUGCGCCGCGACUCGCCCACCGGGAUCAGUAACCCCCGGCAUUGGGGUAACCAGCGCGCGCCCAAUGCAGUCGUAUUCCUCGAAUGCGCGCACCGCCCGCCACACUUGGAGAAUCCAGACCACAGAGGUUUCGGAAACCCCAUUUUCCUGAUUGCAGCCCAGACUCUGGAACCCCGCAAGCCUUCCGGGGAAGCGAGCCCAAUCCAGACCAAGCAGACCUCUGGCGCUGCCGGGUUCGUACAACCACUAAAGCAGCGUCAUCUUGAGAGUUAUUUUGGGGAAAAAGACCUGGGACCUGGGUUUGAGUUAAAGACGUUAGAGGCAAGGGACAGAUGGCCCAGCAUUUCUUUGGAACGAGGCAGAACUGAGAACUACCCAGCUGGACCAGCAUUGCCGAAAACUGGAGAUUAGGAAAUGUGUUCUCCUCGCACACACAGUAGCACACAUCUCCUCCGACGGCGAGCUCACCCCUACGCCAGGGGCCUCUGGCUCCGCCGCUGCGUUUCCCAGACGCCCUUUCGGCCUCCUCCAAGUUUUGCCAGGCAAAUGAAACGAGCAGAACUCGAUGGUAAAUUAUUUUGUUCAGCCUUCCGUCUUUUUAUAAAAAUAAAAGGCAACACUUUGUCAUUUUUAAUCAUAUAAGCAGACAAUAAACCUAAUUUCGAUAUU